GAUGGCAUGGCUCAAGUGGUAGAGUGCUUGGCUAGCUAGCACUCUGAGGCCCUGGGUUCAAAUCCCAGUACCACCA
rnacentral:tRNA from 1 species